CUUCCUUUUGUGGUCAUAAACAUUGUGUUUAAAUUUCAUAGAUUUUCAUUUACUUAACCUAAGGUUAUUGUGCAAAAACCAAGAAAAAUGCUUAUUUGGGCCCUUUAUUGGCCCCUUAUUCCUAAACUAUUGAAACCAAAACUCCCAAAAUCAAUCCAACCUUUUUUGUGGUCAUAAACCUUGUGUCAAAAUUUCAUAGAUUUCUAUUAACUUAAACUAAAG
rnacentral:lncRNA from 1 species